rnacentral:rRNA from 1 species
UUAAUAGAGAGUUUGAUCCUGGCUCAGGAUGAACGCUGGCGGCGUGCCUAACACAUGCAAGUCGAACGGAGUUAAACGCUGAACGGAAGUCAGCUUGCUGAAAGAAGUUCUUGUUUAACUUAGUGGCGGACGGGUGAGUAAUGUGUGAGCAACCUGCCUUACAGAGGGGGAUAACACUCUGAAAAGAGUGCUAAUACCGCAUGAAGCGACGUUAUCGCAUGAUGAUGUUGUUAAAGGAGCAAUCCGCUGGAAGAUGGGCUCACAUCCGAUUAGAUAGUUGGUGAGGUAACGGCUCACCAAGUCGACGAUCGGUAGCCGGACUGAGAGGUUGAACGGCCACAUUGGAACUGAGAUACGGUCCAGACUCCUACGGGAGGCAGCAGUGGGGAAUAUUGGGCAAUGGGCGAAAGAAUUAUUGGGUGUAAAGGGUGCGUAGGCGGGAUGUAAAGUCAGAUGUGAAAUGCCGCGGCUCAACCGCGGAGCUGCAUUUGAAACUUAUGUUCUUGAGUGAAGUAGAGGUAAGCGGAAUUCCUAGUGUAGCGGUGAAAUGCGUAGAUAUUAGGAGGAACACCGGUGGCGAAGGCGGCUUACUGGGCUUAGACUGACGCUGAGGCACGAAAGUGUGGGGAGCAAACAGGAUUAGAUACCCUGGUAGUCCACACUGUAAACGAUGAUUACUAGGUGUAGGGCGGCUGAACCGUUCUGUGCCGGAGUUAACACAAUAAGUAAUCCACCUGGGGAGUACGGCCGCAAGGUUGAAACUCAAAGGAAUUGACGGGGGCCCGCACAAGCAGUGGAGU